GAUGAAGAACGCAGCGAAAUGCGAUAAUUAAUGUGAAUUGCAGAAUUUAGUGAAUCAUCGAAUCUUUGAACGCACAUUGCGCCCCUUGGUAUUCCGGGGGGCAUGCCUGUUCGAGCGUCAUUGCUGCCCUCAAGCCCGGCUUGUGUGUUGGGUCUCGUCCCCCUUCCCGGGGGGACGGGCCCGAAAGGCAGCGGCGGCACCGUGUCCGGUCCUCGAGCGUAUGGGGCUUUGUCACCCGCUCUGUAGGCCCGGCCGGCGCUUGCCGAUCAACCAAAACUUUUUUCCAGGUUGACCUCGGAUCAGGUAGGGAUACCCGCUGAACUUAAGCAUAUCAAUAAGCGGAGGA
rnacentral:misc_RNA from 1 species